UUUUUUUUUUUUUUUUGUCUUUUUAGGACCACACCUGAGGUGCAUGGAGGUUCCCAGGCUAGGGGUCGCAUCGGAGCUACAGCAGCGGGCCUACACAACAGCCACAGCCCAUGCCAGAUCCAAGCCACGUCUGUGACUUGCACACAGCUAACGACAACGCUGGAUCCUUAAACCACUGAGUGAGGCCAGGGAUCAAACCUGCAUCCUCAUGGACACUAGUCAGAUUCACUUCUGCUAAGCCAUGAUGGGAACUCCAUGUGUCUUAAUAUAUUAUGGUGUCUGGAAUCAGUGCAUGUGUUCAAAUCUUCACUCUGUUACUUUCUACUGUCUAGGCAAUUUAUCCAGUCUGUUUCUUUCUCAGAUUGAAUAAUUUACCCACAUUUACAGAUCAAUGUAAUUCACAGAUACAUUACAUUUAUCUGUAUAUGUAGACGAUAAUGUCUUUCUCAUAGAGUGAUCAGGAUUAAAUGAGUUGUCAUGUGUAAAAUACUUAGAGCUUCUGGUAUAGAAUGUUACUGCUGAUGGGAAAUAUAUGUUAUAGUUAUCUAUGAACCCAUACAUCUUCACAAAUGUCAAUAUAUUAUGUGAACUUUUUUCACUUAAUAUAAUGUGUUGGCAUUUUUUAAUUUCUUAUCUCUUCAUAUAGAUAUCUGUGUGUGUUUAAUCUUUUUAAGGAGCAACAUAGUAACUUAUAAUGAAUAUUUGUCUACAUGUAUGUCUGCAUAACUGUUCAAAUGAUUAUUUUAGAAAGAAUUCCUAGAUGCAAAUAUACUUAGUUGAAAGAUAGGUAUUUUUUGAAGAAUAUUUUGAAAUAUGUGGAUUCUUGCAACAGUUCAAAAAUCUGACAAUUUCUCACUUUUUCCUAGCACAAAGUAUCACACUCUCAUCUUCUACUUUAAUAAGCUUAAUAUGCUUUGCUUAAUUUUCCAUUUCUUUAAUUACCUGUGCUAUUAGGUAACAUCUAAUGUAUUUGUUAUUUAAUUUGUCUUUUGUUCAUCUUUAGAUGUAUUUCUAUUUUUCUUAGCAAUUUCUAUAAGAUCAUUUUAUAAAGAAACAUUUUCAGACAAUAUUGGUUAAAUUUAUCAAAUAUAUAAUUAUUUUUCAAGUUGUACUGUACAGCCAUGAGACUUAACAAUCUAGAUAACACCUGGAAAGCUGAGAAAGUCUAAUAGGCUUAAUAGCUCCAGUAGUGAUUUCAAUGAAUUUUAUUUAAUUCAACAAGGACUACACAGUAGGUUUAUGUUGAACAGUUCUCAUUCCUGCAGCAGUCAUUUCCUUGGAAAUGACUAACUAUUGGUUUGGUUUUUCCUAGUUGGUUUCCAUGUCAUUGCUGCAUACCUAGAUUUGCCUACUGGCUAACUCCUUUCUAUUGAUAUUACAAUCAUCCAUUUCCUAUCUUUGCUCAUGUGUAUUCUUUGCUUUACUGUUUGGUUCAUAUAUAUCAGCCCUAUUUUCUCUUCCCACCAAGAACAUAGUUAAAUAGCUUCAGCUACUAUUAUACUGGUCAAGAAAAGAAUUCCAAGGCUGGUUAAACCACUGGUCAAAUCAAACACUACAUGGAGAUAGUUCUUAUAGUUGAAUGCAAACUCUUUAGCAUUAAAACAUAGCCUCUAUAUUUGAGCCUGCCAAAAUAAAAAGACCAUUUCCAAAUUUCCUUGUAUCCAAAUGUGUGUGAAAGUGGACAUUUUCCACAAAGUUGAAAAAAAAAGACAUUUUAAAAUGCACAUAUACACAAUUCUCAAGUCACAGUUAACUCCCACACUAUAGCAAACUCCAAGCAGAUUACUAUGCAAGGAAUCACACUGCUAAAAUAAAAUGCAACAUAAAAUUUGUGAUAAUUUAAAUGAAAUUAACACUCUGAAAAAAACCUUACAUUUAGUUUGUUUCAUAGUAAUUUUCAUUUCACCAGCAGAAUCCAGAAGGUAUUGCUUUUAUAGUACUAUUUAGUUACAAACUUUCAUAUUAUUCAAAAUGCCAAGUAACUGGGCUAAUUAACACUGGGAUAUAGAAAGAAAAGAGCUGGACUUUGUUAUUCUGUUUUUAACCAAAAUUUCUAGUAAUAAAACACAGUAAUGUCAAUAAACUAAUCCAUUUUUCAAGUUUUUCUAUGGCAUUAUUGUUUAAUAAAAACACAUUUAACAAAAUUAAAAAAUGAAAAUGACUGAUUUUUUUUUUACUUGACAUACAACAGAUCACCUAUUUCUUCUUGUCCAUUUUUUGGAGCCAGCACAUGCUGCCAUAAUUUACUAGACUUAAAAAAAGAUCUUUAUGUUCUUUUAUGUAUUUGUCAGACUAGAGAAAUGAGAAAAAGCAUAUCAAAAAUCUAUACUCUGGCUGGUACAUCUAUAUCUAAAAGGCAGAGGGGAAAAAAAUUAAAAAACUACCACCCACAAAUUCAGUAAAUUUCCAUCAAGUAUAUUUACAACUGCUGGUGAAAGCUGAUAAAUACAAAAGAUUCUCUUAUCUUUAAAUUUAAAUUUGAGCAGGUCAGUCCUUUUGAAAAACCUGCCAAUUAAACUGAAAAGAAUCAAGGCACCAAGUUAAAAUAUGCCAACUACAGUGUUUUGAGUAAGAUAUUUGUCCAAAAUUCAGAGUCAACUCAUUUAUUAUGAAGUAAAAAUCUUCCUUGUCAAACAUCGGCUUUGAUUAUGCUGUAAACUGUAUUCUUUCUCUGGGGUUAUCUUGAACUCUACUACAUAAAAUAAUGUUCUUCUUGUCACAUGAAUUUAAGCUUGACAUCACGCUAAUGCUUCCCAAUUGUAACAUGCUUUGCCUUAUCAAUGUCUAGAAAUAAUUUCAUAACAAAGUUUACUGAGAGAGACAGAUAAAUGAUAUUAAACAUUCACACUAACCAGCAAUGCUGGUCCCUAAUGAGACUCUGCAUCUCCCUCUGGUGGCAACAGGGAGAUAAUAAAUAUCAUAAUUCGGAUGAUUGAGGCAAGAAGCCAAUAACACCAGGUGGAGGAUAAAAUCCUUCAUAGAUUUUCCCGACUUAAGGAUUUUCUUUAUGGAAAUUGUUUAAUGAUGAUGAUUAAACAGUUAAAUAAUUAACACCACUUAAAAUAUGGCAAUAUUUUUAAAAAUCUUGCUAAUAUUCUAACAUAAAGCAAAGAGUAUAAAAAUGGUACAACUGGAGUCCCCUGACGGCAUAGUAGUUAAGGACCUGGCAUUAUCACUGUUGUGGCUCAGGUUAGCUCCCUGGCCCGGGAACUUAUUCAUGCCAUGGGCACAGACAAAAUAAAAAAGUACAACUGAUGUGCACUCUUAAUUUCUUAAAUAUUGAUACUUUCUUCUUUCCUUCCUCCUUUUAUAAACGUAAAACAAGAUGAACACAUUGGAUAACAUUUAGACUUGCUGUGGAAAUUAAAAUUAAGAAGUUUUUUUCAGUGUGCGUCUUUUCCCAUCUUGUAAGAGAACACAAGCACAUGAUGCAUUACAAAAUGUCUCUAUUGUCAAUAGGCGAAGUGACAAUAUAGCUCUAAAGAAAAAUAAUUCCAAUAAGUUCUCAUGGUAACAAACUCAUAUUUUCAUAAAGAAAUAACAGUUUCAUCUGCAUAGUGUUUGGUUGUUAAUAUGGUUAACUAAAGAGCAAAACUGAAUUUCUUUAGAGAUUUUUUUAGUCAAGAUCCAUACCGAGGAGUACCCUGGUGCUCUAGUGGUUAGGAUUCUGUACUAGCACUGCCGUGGCCCAGGUUGAAUUCUGCCCCUUUAAGUUUAAAGCAGUUAAAUUUGUCCUCUUUAAUGUGCUUCCAUCAAUAUCUACUGAGCACCUAAGAUGUGCUAGUAUUACCAGCAUCCUUGAAAAUUUACUUUACCAUCCAUCCUGAGAAUUUUUCUAAACUCUAGUUCCACCAUGAUACGUGGAGGCAAUAAUAGGGUUUUGGCAAAAGUAUUCUUUCACUUAAUGCUUAUGUAAACUUCCACAAGUUUGUCUACUUCUCUGAGCCUAAGUGUUUUACUUACAAAAUAGGACUAAUCCUACACUUAUCAGAGAAUUUUUAUGAAUAUUAAAUGAGAUAAUAUACAUGAAAACAUAGAGAUAUAGAGAAAAAUGCUAACAAUUAGAUAUGAUUGUUUUCUUUUUGUCUCUCUUAUGAAUGUCUCAAAACUUGGCCAUGCCUUGGACUCCAUGAAAGAUCUCCUCUAAGAUGCUGAAUCGCUCAAACCCUGCUUUAAAGGGAUCAGUUAACUCAGGCAUGCUCCUUUUCUCAUGCCUGCAAGUCCUUAUCUUCAUUGUCACAGCCAUCUUCCAUGCUGAAAUCCAUCAGAUAAUUCUGAUUUCACUUUUUCUCAGCUCUGUCUGAACUCCAUGUCCAAUCUUGCCAGAAAUAUAUUUUUCCGUAUUUUGGAUUCCUUCACUCUUUUUUCCACCUAACUUUGCAAUAUCCCCCAACUUGAAUAGAACACUUCUUCACCUUAGGCAGUUCUCCUGUUUAUAAGGUAAAGAGCAAGGUGUAGGUAUUUCUAUGUCUAAAUUCCUAGACGAUUCCAUCAGUUUUAUCUCACUCUCAAAUGUGUGUUAUGUUACAUUUAGAAGUUAGAAAUUCAACCAAAGACACUAUUAAUGCUCUCAAGGCACUGACAAUAUAUUAUUAUUCACCUUGGCUUUCCUAAAACUGAUUUGCUUUGCCCUACAUUCUUUAUGUUUAUAGAAACUUUGCCCUUUAGGAAAAAUAUCUGGAGCAGUUUAUUCAUCUCAAAAGACAGAAUUCAAAUAGGUCAAAAUUACCAUCAGCUGGAAACGGAAUGUUGAUGUUGGCAAAGUUUGCCAUUGCCACUGCUGAUACCCACCUCCACUGUUGAACCUAUUCCAGCCUCUCUGCCCUGUUUUAUUUUGUUUGGUUUGAAAAUAAUCACAUUCUGUUCCCAGGCUAGGGGUUGAAUUGGAGCUGCAGCUGCCGGCCUAUGCCACAGCCACAGCAAUGCCAGAUCCCAGCCCACGGCAACGCUGGAUCCUUAUUCCACUGAGCAGGGUCAGGGAUCUUCAUGGAUAUUAGUCUGGUUCCUUACGUCUGAGCGACAUGGGGAACUCCACACUGGGUGUUUUUAACGACUUGGAAUUACAACAAUUGCCACCAGAUGGCACUAUGGGACUGGCUACUUAAAAGGUUAGAGGUGAGAUUAUCUGGUCAAAAGGUUAGCUUCCUAGUUGUGGCUUUGGAGAGGGCAGAGAGAAGUCUAAUUUGGGUUCCUUCUUAUUAAAAUGUCAUUCUAAAAUAGCAUAAUUUUUUUCUAAUCACUAUUUGCAAGACAUAGGAUAAACAAUUUUGAUAGGGAACAUAAAGCUUGAAUACUCAGUUUACAAUACUUUGAUGUAGCUAACCUUAGUCUUGUCCAUUCUGCUACCUUAUCUCUUCCCUGUAUUGAUCUGCUGUUUUGCAAAAACCCAGGGCCUUGCAAGUGAACAUCACGUGGGCCUGUUCCUUCCAUGGAUGCCCACUCUCCAAAAGCUGUUCACCAUCAGGAACAAGUUAAUUAGCUUCCUCAGAACUCCUAAUUAACUCACCAGCCCUUUUUAUAUCUUUCCACUCCAUAUCCACCCUCUUCUGUGAGUGAGAAUGUGUUCUCUCGCCUGUCACAGUCUCAGCUUCCUGCUGCUCCAGCUUAUUUCAGUGAUGCUAUUAGGACCCAAAAAGCUAGAGUAUAGAAAUUUUUAAAAAGGAAACAGUGCCCCAGAUCUGCAUCAAAGUCUGUAAAGGAUUUUCCUUUCAGUCAAAAAAAAAAAAAA
ensembl:lncRNA